rnacentral:miRNA from 2 species
UACUGGCCUGUUAAGUCCCAAG